GUGCGAGACCGAUAGCGAACAAGUACCGUGAGGAAAAGAUGAAAAGAACUUUGAAAAGAGAGUUAAAGAGUACCUGAAACUGCUGAAAGGGAAGCGAAUCGUAUCCAGUGUCUAUAAUCUGCGGCAUAUUUCAUUGGCAGCAGUGUGCGUGCUUUUGCGUCGGAAGCGGCUUUUGUUGCUCUGUGCUUUUGCUGUGCGUGCUGUUGCUGGUGCCCUGUGUUGCGGUGGGACGUCAGAGUCAGUUCGUAUGCUGCGGGAAAUGGCCGCCGAGGAGGUAGGUCAGGACUUCGGUCUUGGCUGUUAUAUCUUGGUGGUUUGUUGUCGUGGUUGGGACUGAGGUGCCUACAAUGUGCUUUUGAGUGUGCCGGGUUCUCAUUUGGUGGACUGUUUGGAUAGCUUGCUAUGCUUGUGGUUUUUUCAUCGAGUGAUUGAGUCUGGUGGUAACUUGUUGCUGUUCGGGACUUUGA
rnacentral:rRNA from 2 species